CGACGGUUGGUGCUAUGCCAACCGUGGCGUUAACGGAUAACAGAGAAUCUGGGUUCGAUUCUGGAGAGGCCGCAUGAGAAACGGCGACCACUUCUAAGGAAGGCAGCAGGCACGCAAAUUACCCACUUCGGACACCGAGAGGUAGUGACGAACAAUACCGAUGCGGCGCGCUUAACGUGUCGCCGUAAUCGGAAUGAGUACACUUCAAAUCCUUUAACGAGGAUCCACUGGAGGGCAAGCCUGGUGCCAGCAGCCGCGGUAAUUCCAGCUCCAGCAGCGUAUAUUUAUAUUGCUGCGUUUAAAAAGCUCGUAGUUGAAGCGUCAGACGCGGGAGGGCGGACGGCCGCACUGGUCGCUCUCGCCCGACCGAGCCAGGCGCAGAGGGCGCGCGUCGCUUGCACUUUACCGUGUGAGCGCGCCGCCGCUGCACGUUCACCUUGAAGAAAUUGAACCGCUUAGAGGGGGCGAGCAGCUUGAACAGCUCAGCAUGGUAUGAUGGAACAUGGGCUCGUACUCAUUUUGUUGGUUAGAGAGUCGGCGAGCCAAUGAUUAACAGGGACUGCCGGGGGCAUUAGUACUCGGACGGGAGAGGUGAAAUUCAAGGAUCGUCCGAAGACUCCCUACUGCGAAAGCAUUUGCCAAGAAUGUUUUCAUUAAUCAAGAACGAAAGUCAGAGGUGCGAAGGCGAUCAGAUACCGCCGUAGUUCUGACCGUAAACGAUGCCGACUGGCAAUUGGGCGCACUUCUGUCGAAGUUGCCGCCAGCAGUACUGCCCGGGAAACCAAAGUCAUUGGGUUCCGGGGGGAGUAUGGUUGCAAAGCUGAAACUUAAAGGAAUUGACGGAAGGGCACCACCAGGAGUGGAGCCUGCGGCUUAAUUUGACUCAACACGGGAAACCUCACCCGGCCCGAACACUGUUAUGACAGACAGGUUGAGAGCUCUUUCUCGAUUCAGUGGUUGGUGGUGCAUGGCCGUUCUUAGUUCGUGGAGCGAUCUGUCUGGUUAAUUCCGAUAACGAACGAGAUUCUUGCCUGCUAAAUAGACGGCGUCGACUGUGUGCGACGGCUGUUCGCUUCUUAGAGGGACAAGCGGCUUUUAGCCGCGUGAAGCUGAGAGCAAUAACAGGUCAGUGAUGCCCUCAGAUGUUCGGGGCCGCACGCGCGCUACACUGUUUGCAUCAGCGUGUUUCUCCCGCGCCGG
rnacentral:rRNA from 1 species